UUCAUCAUUCCAUAAGCUGCUUUACCACUGUAGACAGGGUCAAGAAUAACACCUGUGGUUUCAGCAACUUGCUUCACAAAUUUAAGCUCAUCAGUGGUGCUCAAAGCAUACCCAAGGCCUUUUGCAGUUUUGAUGCUAACAAUAUCACGGGAGCUAACUCCAGCAGUGAUUCCGUCAAGUAGGCCUUGAACAUAUUCAUAAAAGUAAUCUGGAUCGUCGCAGACACAAAAUGCAUUAAUCUUUGCUUUCAAGCCACUGAGCAUGGAUGCAAUUGACAAACCAGCAACCGUACCCCCACUGCCACAAGCUACAACAAUGUCGUCGAAUUUCUGUUCAAUGCUCAAGUGCUGAAGUUGUUGCUCCAAUUCCCUAAUUGCCUCAAUAUAGCCCCAGGUUCCUAGAGAAUUGGAUCCACCAACAGGGAUGACAUAUGGCUUUCUCCCUUCAUUUAACAGCUUUUCUUUCAAUAUUUUGGUAAGAGCCUCACCGCCAACUUUUGCAUAUUCUUCUUUUGAAACAAGAUCAAUGUGUGCUCCAACUAAACGGUCAACAAGGAGGUUCCCUGUUAAUCCAGGAUCUUUAUCUACAAGUAACUUUGAAGUGCGUAAGAUGAGAUAGCAGUCAAGGUUCAAGUACUUGGCAGCGACAGCAGUAGCACGACAGUGAUUACUUUGUAUGCCACCUAUAGUCACUAUGCAGUCAGCACCCUGUGCUACAGCAUCUGCCAACAAGAACUCCAGCUUUCUGACCUUGUUUCCACUUAAUUGCAUUCCUGACAUAUCAUCACGCUUUAACCAAACCUCGGUGUUCUUCGGUAAAUUAGGCAGGUUCCACUUGUGAAUUGGAGUCGGAAAAUGACCAAGCGAAAAGGUGUGAGAGGGAAUUGGGCUAAGAAGCGAAGCCCAUGGAGGAGGCUCGUAAGGCUUCUUCGUCAGAAACUGAAAGGCCGAUUGGUGACCCUGGGAACUGGAAUCCUCCAUCGAUGAUUUGGUAAAGCAACACUGUUUCUUCAAGUUUAAUGCCGUAUUGAGUUGUGCUGGCUGCAAGGGAAAUGGAGAUAG
rnacentral:misc_RNA from 1 species